GACCGGAACACAUUCUUUUCUCUUCCAUUUCCUGGAUGAUUCCCUGGAAGGGUGAUCGCUGGUGAAUUGUACAUUUGGACAGCUUAGACUCCAUCAUUAAAUUUCCCUGGAAGGGUGAUCGCUGGUGAAUUGUACAUUUGGACAGCUUAGCUCAGUACAAAAAGUUCUAGUAACAUCCACUGGUAAAUCAACUUUGGAUAUAGAGGGGAGGCAUUUUAGUGAUUCAAAUCUCCUCUUGCCUUGUGGGAGGCCAAUAGCCUGUAAAUCUGUUCAACUAAUUAAUAGAAAGUAUAAUGUAUGUGAAUGUGUUAAUCGUUCUAGCGCAAUAGACAUUGGAUAGCGCCAGGUUGUUCCAUGAGUGCACGAAGUGAAAAUGAGGUUCAAUCUCGUGAUAGUUUUGGUGCGAGGGAAGGUAGGAGGGACUGACGAUGCUGAGGUUUUUUUCCUCCCAGUACGAUGUAUUUGGAAUGAGAAAGGUAUGCAGAACCCAUGACAGAGGUGUAAGAUUAUGUGAUAUGAAGGCGGAGCAGAACUGUGCAUAUGUAUGAUCAUGAGGAAUGAAGAUGGAGCAGAAACUGUCUGUAUGAUUAUGAGAUAUAAAGGUGGAGGAGAACUAUGCCUAAACCUUGUGUGAAAAUGAGAACCUGCCCUUUGUUUCUUGUUUGUACAGCGUAUUGAUGAGCCAACUCAGUUGAUAUUUGCUAGUUUAUUUCUCCUUGACACCUUAAUAUCAUCAAUUUUGGUGGGUUAAACUGUGGUUUAAAGGACAGCAAUCACCAUGAUUUGGUUUUUGUGAUAAUUAGAAGCACCAUGAACCUAUAGGAUUACUUGGUGGUGCAUCUAGAGAUGGAGAUCAAUGUCGGAAGAAGCCGUUGGUCGCGUCUGUUUGAGGUUUUUGGCAUGUCUAAUGAACUCCAACAAAUAAUUUUUUGGCUAGUUUCAAGAAACUUUAUCACGACCUAUGGAUGCUAUAGUUAAAAGGUAUAUAAUGAACUCCAACAAAUAAUGUUUUGGCUAGUUUCAAGAAACUUUAUCGCGUCCUAUGGAUGCUAUAGUUAAAAGGUAUUGGGCCAACCAAUUAAUUAUACUUUUUUAACAAUGAAUAUAUCGCCAAACAUCGUUUUAAUCCUCUGAAUUUCUAGCUGAUGAUUCUCCGUGGCAAGUAGGUAGGAGGUCCUAACUACGACAUAGCUCGGACUCCACGCGAGGCAUGUGGGCGGGGUGUUGGUUUUCUGGCUCUUUAUAGAUGUUAUUUCAGUUAUACAUUUUAUUCCAAAAUGUGGCAAGUUUAAGCGGUAGUUAGACCGGCGCCAACUGUUGGCCAGUCAAGAAAUUUUAUGUUCAGAAGUAGAAAGUAGC
rnacentral:lncRNA from 1 species